rnacentral:rRNA from 1 species
GACGUAGGGUGCAAGCGUUGUCCGGAAUUAUUGGGCGUAAAGAGCUCGUAGGCGGUUUGUCGCGUCGGCUGUGAAAACUCGGGGCUCAACCCCGAGCCCGCAGUCGAUACGGGCAGACUAGAGUGCUGUAGGGGAGACUGGAAUUCCUGGUGUAGCGGUGAAAUGCGCAGAUAUCAGGAGGAACACCGGUGGCGAAGGCGGGUCUCUGGGCAGUAACUGACGCUGAGGCACGAAAGCGUGGGGAGCAAACAGG